rnacentral:rRNA from 1 species
UGGGGAAUAUUGGACAAUGGGGGCAACCCUGAUCCAGCGAUGCCGCGUGUGUGAAGAAGGCCUGAGGGUUGUAAAGCACUUUUGUUGGGGAGGAUUGCUGUUGGCUUAAUAGGCCAAACAGUUGACGUUACCCAAAGAAUAAGCACCGGCUAACUUCGUGCCAGCAGCCGCGGUAAUACGAAGGGAGCUAGCGUUGUUCGGAAUCACUGGGCGUAAAGCGCACGUAGGUGGGCAGUUAAGUCAGGGGUGAAAGCCCGAGGCUCAACCUCGGAAUUGCCUCUGAUACUGGCUGUCUAGAGUUCGAGAGAGGUGAGUGGAAUUCCUAGUGUAGAGGUGAAAUUCGUAGAUAUUAGGAAGAACACCGGUGGCGAAGGCGGCUCACUGGCUCGAUACUGACACUGAGGUGCGAAAGCGUGGGGAGCAAACAGGAUUAGAUACCCCAGUAGUCCCUGAGCGGGCUGGCAAGGCGCAU